GAUUAAGAACGUAGCGAAAUGCGAUACGUAAUGUGAAUUGCAGAUUUCAGUGAAUCAUCGAAUCUUUGAACGCACAUUGCGCCCGCCAGUAUUCUGGCGGGCAUGCCUGUUCGAGCGUCAUUUCAACCAUCAAGCCUUCGCUUGUGUUGGGGCCCCGCGGCUGCCGCGGUCCCCUAAAUCCAGUGGCGGGCUCGUCGUCGUACCGAGCGCAGUAGACAUCCUCGCUCCGGGAACCCGACGGGUGCCGGCCGUGAAACCCCCCACAUCAAGGUUGACCUCGGAUCAGGUAGGAAUACCCGCUGAACUUAAGCAUAUCAAUAAGCGGAGGA
rnacentral:misc_RNA from 1 species